UACAGAGGUCUCAAGCGUUGUUCGGAUUCAUUGGGCGUAAAGGGGUGCGUAGGCGGCGCGGUAAGUCGGGGUGUGAAAUCUCGGGAGCUUAACUCCGAAACUGCAUUCGAUACUGCCGUGCUUGAGGACUGGAGAGGAGACUGGGAAUUUACGGUGUAGCGGUGAAAUGCGUAGAUAUCGUAAGGAAGACCAGUGGCGAAGGCGGGUCUCUGGACAGUUCCUGACGCUGAGGCACGAAGGCCAGGGGAGCAAACGGG
rnacentral:rRNA from 1 species